rnacentral:rRNA from 1 species
UAGGGAAUCUUCCACAAUGGGCGAAAGCCUGAUGGAGCAACGCCGCGUGUGUGAUGAAGGUUUCGGCUCGUAAAACACUGUUGUAAGAGAAGAAUGACAUUGAGAGUAACUGUUCAAUGUGUGACGGUAUCUUACCAGAAAGGAACGGCUAAAUACGUCCCAG